AACUAAGUUUAUUAUUGGUAUGAGCUUUCGUGUGCAUGCACACUGCUUCAGAUUCAUAAUUCUUCAGAUUGGUAUCUGAAGACGUGUGCAUGCACACGAAAGCUCAUAUCAAUAACAAACUUAGUUGG
rnacentral:miRNA from 1 species